GAAUUUUGGACAAUGGGCGAAAGCCUGAUCCAGCAAUGCCGCGUGCAGGCUGAAGGCCUUCGGGUUGUAAACUGCUUUUGUACGGAACGACAAGCUUUGGGUUAAUACCCUGGAGUCAUGACGGUACCGUAAGAAUAAGCACCGGCUAGCUUCGUGCCGGCAGCCGCGGUGAUACGUAGGGUGCACGAGUUAAUCGGAAUUACUGGGCGUAAAGCGUGCGCAGGCUGUUUUGUAAGACAGGGGUGAAAUCCCCGGGCUCAACCUGGGAGCUGCCUUUGGUACUGCAAGGCUAGAGUACGGCAGAGGGGGGUGGAAUUCCGCGUGUAGCAGUGAAAUGCGUAGAUAUGCGGAGGAACACCGAUGGCGAAGGCAACCCCCUGGGCCUGUACUGACGCUCAUGCACGAAAGCGUGGGGAGCAAACAG
rnacentral:rRNA from 1 species